GUGGGGAAUUUUGGACAAUGGGCGCAAGCCUGAUCCAGCAAUGCCGCGUGCAGGAAGAAGGCCUUCGGGUUGUAAACUGCUUUUGUACGGAACGAAACGGUCCGGGUUAAUACCCUGGGCUAAUGACGGUACCGUAAGAAUAAGCACCGGCUAACUACGUGCCAGCAGCCGCGGUAAUACGUAGGGUGCAAGCGUUAAUCGGAAUUACUGGGCGUAAAGCGUGCGCAGGCGGUUUUGUAAGACAGGCGUGAAAUCCCCGGGCUCAACCUGGGAAUUGCGCUUGUGACUGGAAGGCUGGAGUGCGGCAGAGGGGGAUGGAAUUCCGCGUGUAGCAGUGAAAUGCGUAGAUAUGCGGAGGAACACCGAUGGCGAAGGCAAUCCCCUGGGCCUGCACUGACGCUCAUGCACGAAAGCGUGGGGAGCAAACAGGAUUAGAUACCCUAGUAGUCC
rnacentral:rRNA from 1 species